UACGGAGGGUGCAAGCGUUGUCCGGAUUUAUUGGGUUUAAAGGGUGCGUAGGCGGCUUAUUAAGUCAGUGUUUAAAGCCUUCAGCUUAACUGAAGAAAUGGCAUUGAUACUGAUAAGCUUGAGUAAAGUUGAGGUAGACAGAAUUGAUGGUGUAGCGGUGAAAUGCAUAGAUAUCAUCAAGAAUACCGAUUGCGAAGGCAGUUUACUAAGCUUUAACUGACGCUGAGGCACGAAAGUGUGGGGAUCAAACAGG
rnacentral:misc_RNA from 1 species